rnacentral:rRNA from 1 species
GGAAUAUUGGUCAAUGGCCGCGAGGCUGAACCAGCCAAGUAGCGUGCAGGAAGACGGCCCUCUGGGUUGUAAACUGCUUUUAUACGGGAACAAAGUGCCCUACGUGUAGGGUUUUGCGUGUACCGUAAGAAAAAGGACCGGCUAAUUCCGUGCCAGCAGCCGCGGUAAUACGGAAGGUCCGGGCGUUAUCCGGAAUUAUUGGGUUUAAAGGGAGCGUAGGCGGGCCGGCAAGUCGGUUGUGAAAGUGCGGGGCUCAACCCCGUAUUGCGGUCGAAACUGUUGGUCUUGAGUGCGCGCAGGGACGCUGGAAUUCACGGUGUAGCGGUGAAAUGCUUAGAUAUUGUGAAGAACUCCGACGGCGAAGGCAGGUGUCCGGAGCGCUACUGACGCUGAGGCUCGAAAGUGCGGGUAUCGAACA